rnacentral:rRNA from 1 species
UACGUAGGGUGCAAGCGUUAAUCGGAAUUACCGGGCGUAAAGCGUGCGCAGGCGGUUUUGUAAGACAGAGGUGAAAUCCCCGGGCUCAACCUGGGAACUGCCUUUGUGACUGCAAGGCUUGAGUGCGGCAGAGGGGGAUGGAAUUCCGCGUGUAGCAGUGAAAUGCGUAGAUAUGCGGAGGAACACCGAUGGCGAAGGCAAUCCCCUGGGCCUGCACUGACGCUCAUGCACGAAAGCGUGGGGAGCAAACAGG